CGACAUGAUUCUGUGUUAUUGUAGUAUUUUACUGGACACACCAGAGCAGAGAGCUAGUCCCUGUGUAAGAUAUGCAGCUGCACUGGCUAAAAUAGUGGAGAAAGUGGGUCAUAUCGUCAUGCACCACCCACUCCAAAUUCUCACUUCCCAUAGUACUGUAGCCUACGUUACAUCAGCGUGUUUCACUCUCACUCCAUUGCGACAAACCAAGAUCUU